rnacentral:hammerhead_ribozyme from 1 species
GCACUGCUGAGGAGUUCCACAAUAGGACGAAACAGUCGUCCAGUGC